GAAAUGGGCAGCCUGCUGUCUUCUGACCUCCGGGGUUCCUCUUUAUGAGCUUUCAAAAACAAAGGCUACAGGGAGAAGACAAUACACUAUUGACGGGUACCUGAGGAAAAUGCUGGAAUGUUUGGCUCAUUUAAGCUGGACGAGGCCCAAAUCCUGGAGGCUGUUCUGGAGAUUGGAUACUUGGAACAAUAUUCUGGCUAUUACUGGCACACCUAGGCUGCCCGAGAAGGUGAGUAAAAUGAAGACACACCAUCAGGGAGAUGAUUACUUCUUGCUUCUCAAACUGUGGCGCCUGGACCAGCAACAUCAGUCUCAUCUGGGUGUUUGCCAGAAAUGCAGAGUCUCGGGCCCCACCAGAAACCAGGCUCUUCCCCUCGUGGCGCAAUAUGGCUGCUGUUGAGCCAGACAUCCCGUCACAAUGUUCAGAAGGCAGCAGAGUGAAUAUCCUUUCCUUGGGGCUAUGUGUAGAGACAAGGAAAGCUUUCCCACAGCCACAGGACACACUUCCCCUAUUGCUAGAAUUUGCUGUGUGACGUCGCCUAGGCCAGUUGUGAACAAGGGAGGCCUGGGGGUGGGGGCGGGGUGCUCCCCAUAAUUGGCCUAAAUCAUUGCUGUCCACAUGGGGCAGAAGUGGGACCAAGUUAGCACCUGGACAAAAUCAAGGUUCUGCCGGCAGGGAAGGGGAAGGGUUAAUGAGGCAAAACCAACAAGGCUGGUCAUAGAGACCACAGUUGUGCAAACACAUUCUGUGUAGUCCCCAUGUGGAGGGAAGGUGCCCCGGCCCCCGCCUGGAGAGCCAGCUCCUUGUGGGGAAGGGGUUGGACGGGGUGGGAGGCCAGCACAUUUGGACCAAGUGGACUGGAGAAGAGAUUGCGUGAGAUUAAUAUUCUGCCCAAGCUUUGUGUUGGAAACGUGGUAUUAAAGAGUUUUCUGACACACAAAGCCCCACUUAUUAGGGUGGAGGUGGAGAGCGGUGGCUCGGAUCCCCCUCCAAGGAAGGGCCUUUUGCCCCAGCUUUGGGCGCCUCUGUUGGCAGAUGGCCUCAGCUGUCAGCCCCUCUAGGACACCCCAUGGCUGCAGAGCCCCCUCCUCCGGGUCAUGGCCCUCCUGGAACUCUCCUCAUCUGAUGAUUCAGCGGUUCUCAGCAGGGUAGGGGGUGGAGUUUCUCACACACACACACACACACACACACACACACACACACACGCACCCCGGGGACAUUUGGCAGUGUCUGGAGACAUUUCUGCUUGUCACAGCUGGGGAGGGAGUGACGCUGGCAUCUGGUGGGUUGGGGUCAGGGAUCUGCGCACAACAAAGGACGAUCAGGCUGCAGCUGUCCAAGGUGCCCAGCUGGAGAAGACCCUGAGUGCUGAUGAAGACAGGGAUGAAACCCUGGCGGCUCGGCCCCCUCUGGGACCCUCUGAGAGGCCAGUCCAGCUCCAGAAACCCCCAUGAGGGGGACGGCUGAGCAGCCCUCUCCCUCUGCCUCUCCCGUGUCCUUUCCUGCCCUUCCACAAGGUGGAUCUCAAGGGCACACCUUAAUAGACUGUGCAUUUCACCUCCCUCUCAGAGUCUGCCCCUCUGGGGAUGCGAACGGAGACAGUCGUUCUCCAGGAAAAUUCUAGCAAGGCAAAAAUCUGCUAUGCAUUCUGUAGGCAGUGAAAACUGCAAAUCUCUGACUCCCAAGAUAACUACUGUUCAUCACCGGUGGAUGUUCAUCCUGAGUUUUGUUUUUUUUUUUUCCUCCCCAGGCAUCUGGUAGGUACCUGUUCUUUGUGCUGGCCAGCUUCCAAGCUCUUUCUGGUAACCAGGCCUGGCCUUGGGGAUCACCCCAAGGUGAUCUCCUAUGCUCAGGCCACCAGGUUUGCCAGGACCUGACUCCUUGCAUCUCCUCCCCCAAUCCCCCUCCCCAGAUGGGCAGAGGACCCAGGCCUGCCUAAUCAGCAUAGUCCUGCCUUCUGACCUCUGUGAUUGGUUCAGCAGUGGGCAUGUGUUCCAAGCAAGGCAGGUGAGUGUCAGCCUGAGGAAUCUGUUGGAAAAAAGAAUGCUUUCUGCUCUUGUUGCUUAGCGGGUAGAACAGAAACCUGGAGCUGCCUGGAGCCCCAGGUGGAGAGAGACUGCUUGAGAAGAAAGCCAAAACAGACACAAACUGAACAGAGAGAUGGGGAGUCUGAAAUGGCCUGGCGAAGGUAGUAAGCCCUGGAUCAAGCUACACCUGAAGACACAUUCCUGUUUUUUCUUUCUUGCUUUCUUAUUAGCCAGGACAAUAAUUUCCAUUUUUUUGGUCAUUGAGUCCCUGUUAUGAGUUGAAUUGUGUUCCUUCCCUCAGAAUGAUAUGUUGAGGGGCGCCUUGGUGGCUCAGUUGGUUAAGCAGCUGCCUUUGGGUUGGGUUGUGACCUCAGGGUACUGGGAUCGAGCCCCACGUCGGGC